UGGCUUCCCGUUACCCUUGUCCAGCGAUGGCAGAGUUAUAGAAUCUGCCCUCGUCACUGAGAAAGAACAGAUCCAUCAAGCUGACUCCUUCAAUUGUGCUGGACAUAAAUGAUGUGGCACAUUCGGGCCAAUACAGGCUUGGUGACAAGGGCAUGAGGGGAGAAGAAAGGCAGCCCGGGAGGUUCUGCAGAGCUCACACCACCAAGGGCAUCAGGCUGCUAUAUGCUAUACCGUCUUCUAAAGGAACUCUUGAUCCCCAAUUUGCUAUGAACGAACAGUCAGAAUGACAAAAA